UUGCAGCCUUUGAGACGUGCACUCCUGGCACUCAGGGGAAUGCAGUUCUCCAGGAAGAGCUGGAUGUGGGAACUCCACAGGUCCCAGACAUUGUCCUGUGGCUGUCACAUCCUGUGUGCCCUGCAGCAGGACGAGAGGCCGGAGGCAGAAACUGAUGUCAAGGAAGUUCCACCUUUAUAUCAGGGAGAACUUUUUUCCUGUGCAGUGACUGAGCAGUGGAACUGGAUUUACUAAGAGGAUGUAGAGCCUCCUGUCAUGUUCCUAUUUUCUGGAAAAAUCCUUUCACCCAGGAUUUUUCUCCUGGGAAGCUGAGAGGCCUCAGAGAAAAAGAAAAACAAUAAUUAUCUCGUUUGCUUCUCCUGUGUUUUGCUCAUGUGGAAUGUGUUUGGAGAUUGUUUACCCACAGGUGAUUGUUUCAUUGGAUUCUGCUGUGACUUGUUUUGACUCAAUGGACAAUCAGGGCCAAGCUAUAUCCGGACUCUGGAGAGAGUCACAAGUUUUCAUUAUUAUCUUUUCAGCAUUCUAGCUGCAUCUCCAUCCCAGAGGCACUGCAAAAUACACUCCUGCAUUGGGCCUGGCAAUUUCAUUGGCUGCUGGUCAAUAUUUUCUUCUCAAAGAAUUUGCCAACAAGACUUUCCACAGGUGGAUGUAGUGUAUUCUGGAAGGCAAAAUAUAUUCUGUGACAACUCGGGCACCACAGCCUUGGAAGAACAACACAGGCUCCAUAAACACUUCUGGGUCAUGAUCCAGAGUAGGAUGAAGAUUCAAGUCUGCAAUUUAAUCUGUGUCCACGUUUACUCUGGCAAUCAAACUGCUUGU